GACGAACGCUGGCGGCGUGCUUAACACAUGCAAGUCGAGCGGAAAGGCCCUUCGGGGUACUCGAGCGGCGAACGGGUGAGUAACACGUGAGUAACCUGCCCCAGACUUUGGGAUAACCCUCGGAAACGGGGGCUAAUACCGGAUACGACACAGCUUCGCAUGGGGUCUGUGUGGAAAGUUUUUCGGUUUGGGAUGGGCUCGCGGCCUAUCAGCUUGUUGGUGGGGUGAUGGCCUACCAAGGCGACGACGGGUAGCCGGCCUGAGAGGGCGACCGGCCACCCUGGGACUGCGGCACGGACCAGACUCCUACGGGCGGCAGCAGUGGGGAAUAUUGCACAAUGGGCGGAAGCCUGAUGCAGCGACGCCGCGUGAGGGAUGACGGCCUUCGGGUUGUAAACCUCUUUCAGCAGGGACGAAGCGUAAGUGACGGUACCUGCAGAAGAAGCGCCGGCCAACUACGUG
rnacentral:rRNA from 1 species